rnacentral:rRNA from 1 species
ACGCUGGCGGCAGGCCUAACACAUGCAAGUCGAGCGGUAGAGAGAAGCUUGCUUCUCUUGAGAGCGGCGGACGGGUGAGUAAUGCCUAGGAAUCUGCCUGGUAGUGGGGGAUAACGUUCGGAAACGGACGCUAAUACCGCAUACGUCCUACGGGAGAAAGCAGGGGACCUUCGGGCCUUGCGCUAUCAGAUGAGCCUAGGUCGGAUUAGCUAGUUGGUGAGGUAAUGGCUCACCAAGGCGACGAUCCGUAACUGGUCUGAGAGGAUGAUCAGUCACACUGGAACUGAGACACGGUCCAGACUCCUACGGGAGGCAGCAGUGGGGAAUAUUGGACAAUGGGCGAAAGCCUGAUCCAGCCAUGCCGCGUGUGUGAAGAAGGUCUUCGGAUUGUAAAGCACUUUAAGUUGGGAGGAAGGGUUGUAGAUUAAUACUCUGCAAUUUUGACGUUACCGACAGAAUAAGCACCGGCUAACUCUGUGCCAGCAGCCGCGGUAAUACAGAGGGUGCAAGCGUUAAUCGGAAUUACUGGGCGUAAAGCGCGCGUAGGUGGCUUGUUAAGUUGGAUGUGAAAUCCCCGGGCUCAACCUGGGAACUGCAUUCAAAACUGACUGACUAGAGUAUGGUAGAGGGUGGUGGAAUUUCCUGUGUAGCGGUGAAAUGCGUAGAUAUAGGAAGGAACACCAGUGGCGAAGGCGACCACCUGGACUAAUACUGACACUGAGGUGCGAAAGCGUGGGGAGCAAACAGGAUUAGAUACCCUGGUAGUCC